rnacentral:rRNA from 1 species
UACGUAGGGUGCAAGCGUUGUCCGGAAUUAUUGGGCGUAAAGAGCUUGUAGGCGGUCUGUCGCGUCUGCUGUGAAAAUCCGGGGCUCAACCCCGGACUUGCAGUGGGUACGGGCAGACUAGAGUGUGGUAGGGGAGACUGGAAUUCCUGGUGUAGCGGUGAAAUGCGCAGAUAUCAGGAGGAACACCGGUGGCGAAGGCGGGGUCUCUGGGCCGAUAACUGACGCUGAGGAGCGAAAGCGUGGGGAGCGAACAGG